rnacentral:rRNA from 1 species
GAUGAACGCUGGCGGCGUGCCUAAUACAUGCAAGUCGAGCGAACAGACGAGGAGCUUGCUCCUCUGACGUUAGCGGCGGACGGGUGAGUAACACGUGGAUAACCUACCUAUAAGACUGGGAUAACUUCGGGAAACCGGAGCUAAUACCGGAUAAUAUAUUGAACCGCAUGGUUCAAUAGUGAAAGACGGUUUUGCUGUCACUUAUAGAUGGAUCCGCGCCGCAUUAGCUAGUUGGUAAGGUAACGGCUUACCAAGGCGACGAUGCGUAGCCGACCUGAGAGGGUGAUCGGCCACAGUGGAACUGAGACACGGUCCAGACUCCUACGGGAGGCAGCAGUAGGGAAUCUUCCGCAAUGGGCGAAAGCCUGACGGAGCAACGCCGCGUGAGUGAUGAAGGUCUUCGGAUCGUAAAACUCUGUUAUUAGGGAAGAACAAAUGUGUAAGUAACUAUGCACGUCUUGACGGUACCUAAUCAGAAAGCCACGGCUAACUACGUG